AUGACACAUGCAAACCCAGUUCAAAUUUCGAUCACGAUCAAGAAAACAAACUCAACUCUCGAAUUUCGAACAAUAGCAAAAGCUCAGUUUAGACUCUUAGUUCAGAACAUCAAACAACAACAAUCGAUAGAGUAUAAAAUAAGAAGAAGAAAAAAAAAGAGUAACCGAAUCGGAGUUCCUCCGACGGGUCUUCUUAUCUCAGGUUGA